rnacentral:rRNA from 1 species
ACAUGCCUACAACAUAAAAUUAAUGCAUUGGAUCCCAUUAGAACGUCGUAGUUAAGCGCACUCAGGUUGGAGUAGUACUAGGAUGGGUGACCGCCUAGGAAGUCCUAGUGUUUUACAUGCC